rnacentral:rRNA from 1 species
AGAGUUUGAUCAUGGCUCAGGAUGAACGCUGGCGGCGUGCUUAACACAUGCAAGUCGAACGGAGUAAUUAAAGCAGCUUGCUACAUUAAUUGCUUAGUGGCGGACGGGUGAGUAACGCGUGGAUAACCUACCUUACACAGGGGGAUAACAACGAGAAAUCGUUGCUAAUACCGCAUAAGUGUGAUUUCCGCAUGGGGAUCAUAUGAAAGCUCCGGCGGUGCAAGAUGGGUCCGCGUCUGAUUAGCUAGUUGGUGGGGUAAAGGCCCACCAAGGCAACGAUCAGUAGCCGGCUUGAGAGAGUGGACGGCCACACUGGGACUGAGACACGGCCCAGACUCCUACGGGAGGCAGCAGUGGGGAAUAUUGCACAAUGGGGGAAACCCUGAUGCAGCGACGCCGCGUGAAGGAAGAAGGUCUUCGGAUCGUAAACUUCUAUCAGCAGGGAAGAAGAUAGUGACUGUACCUGACUAAGAAGCCCCGGCUAACUACGUGCCAGCAGCCGCGGUAAUACGUAGGGGGCAAGCGUUAUCCGGAAUCACUGGGUGUAAAGGGUGCGUAGGCGGUAGGGCAAGUCAGAUGUGAAAGCCCGGGGCUCAACUCCGGGAUUGCAUUUGAAACUGUCUUACUAGAGUGCAGGAGAGGAAAGCGGAAUUCCUAGUGUAGCGGUGAAAUGCGUAGAUAUUAGGAAGAACACCAGUGGCGAAGGCGGCUUUCUGGACUGUAACUGACGCUGAGGCACGAAAGCGUG